GACAGAGGGGACAAGCGUUGCUCGGAAUCACUGGGCGUAAAGGGCGCGUAGGCGGGAUGGCAAGUCAGUCGUGAAAUCUCUCGGCUCAACCGAGAAACGUCGGCUGAUACUGCCGUUCUUGAGGGAUGCAGAGGAGACUGGAAUUCCCGGUGUAGCGGUGAAAUGUGUAGAGAUCGGGAGGAACACCGGUGGCGAAGGCGGGUCUCUGGGCAUCUCCUGACGCUGAGGCGCGAAAGCGUGGGGAGCAAACGGG
rnacentral:rRNA from 1 species